rnacentral:rRNA from 1 species
AGAACGAACGCUGGCGGCAGGCUUAACACAUGCAAGUCGAACGCCCCGCAAGGGGAGUGGCAGACGGGUGAGUAACGCGUGGGAAUCUACCCAGUUCUACGGAAUAACACAGGGAAACUUGUGCUAAUACCGUAUACGCCCUACGGGGGAAAGAUUUAUCGGGAUUGGAUGAGCCCGCGUUGGAUUAGCUAGUUGGUGGGGUAAUGGCCUACCAAGGCGACGAUCCAUAGCUGGUCUGAGAGGAUGAUCAGCCACACUGGGACUGAGACACUGCCCAGACUCCUACGGGGGGCUGCAGUAACGAAUCUUCCGCAAUGCACGCAAGUGUGACGGAGCGACGCCGCGUGUGGGACGAAGCCCUUCGGGGUGUAAACCACUGUCAGGGGCAGGCCAAGAACUGAGGCGCCCAGAGGAAGGCACGGCUAACUCUGUGCCAGCAGCCGC